CCCUUAGAUGUUCUGGGCCGCACGCGCGCUACACUGACUGACUCAACGAGUUUACAACCUGUGCCGAAAGGUAUGGGUAAUCUUUUGAAAUUCAGUCGUGAUGGGGCUAGAUUAUUGCAACUAUUAAUCUUCAACGAGGAAUGCCUAGUAAGCGCGAAUCAUCAGUUCGCGUUGAUUACGUCCCUGCCCUUUGUACACACCGCCCGUCGCUCCUACCGAUUGAAUGGUCCGGUGAAUAAUUCGGACUGCAGCACUGCUUGGUCUCCAGGCUUUGCAGCGGAAAGUUUAGUGAACCUUAUCACUUAGAGGAAGGAGAAGUCGUAACA
rnacentral:rRNA from 1 species